GAGGAAUAUUGGUCAAUGGACGAAAGUCUGAACCAGCCAAGUAGCGUGCAGGAUGACGGCCCUAUGGGUUGUAAACUGCCUUUGUAUGGGGAUAAAGUCAAUCACGUGUGAUUGUUUGCAGGUACCAUACGAAUAAGGACCGGCUAAUUCCGUGCCAGCAGCCGCGGUAAUACGGAAGGUUCGGGCGUUAUCCGGAUUUAUUGGGUUUAAAGGGAGCGUAGGCCGGAGAUUAAGUGUGUUGUGAAAUGUAGACGCUCAACGUCUGACUUGCAGCGCAUACUGGUUUCCUUGAGUACGCACAACGUUGGCGGAAUUCGUCGUGUAGCGGUGAAAUGCUUAGAUAUGACGAAGAACUCCGAUUGCGAAGGCAGCUGACGGGAGCGCAACUGACGCUGAAGCUCGAAGGUGCGGGUAUCGAACAGGAUUAGAUACCCUGGUAGUCCGCACAGUAAACGAUGGAUGCCCGCUGUUGGUACCUGGUAUCAGCGGCUAAGCGAAAGCAUUAAGCAUCCCACCUGGGGAGUACGCCGGCAACGGUG
rnacentral:rRNA from 1 species